rnacentral:SRP_RNA from 1 species
GCCAGGCAUGGUGGCGCAUGCCUGUAAUCCCAGCUACUUGGGAGGCUGAGGCAGGAGAAUUGCUUGAACCUGGGAGGUGGAGGUUGCAGUGAGCUGAGAUUGUGCCACUGCACUCCACUCUGGACAAUGAGAACAAAACUCUGUCUCAAAAAACAAAACAAAAAAAAUUUCAGAGACUCGAUUACUUUUAACUCAAAUAAUUUUUAAAUGAUUACUAGAUACUUAAAACUUCCAUGAACUCUUUUUUUUUUUUUUUUUUUUUUGAGACGGAGCCUUGCUCUGUCACCCAGGCUGAAGUGCAAUGGCGAGAUCUCAGCUCACUGCAACCUCCGCCCCCCAGGUUCAAGCUAUUUUCCUGCCUCAG